rnacentral:rRNA from 1 species
GACGAACCGUGCGAACGUUAUUCGGAAUCACUGGGCUUAAAGGGCGCGUAGGCGGGCCGCCAGGUCCGGGGUGAAAGCCUCCAGCUCAACUGGAGAAGUGCCUUGGAUACCGGCGGCCUCGAGGGAGGCAGGGGCGUGCGGAACUUCGGGUGGAGCGGUGAAAUUCGUAGAUAUUCGGAGGAACACCAGUGGCGAAGGCGGCUCACUGGCCCGGUACUGACGCUGAGGUGCGAAAGCGUGGGGAGCAAACAGG